UACGAAGGGGGCUAGCGUUGUUCGGAAUUACUGGGCGUAAAGCGUGCGCAGGCGGUCUGUUAAGACCGAUGUGAAAUCCCCGGGCUUAACCUGGGAACUGCAUUGGUGACUGGCAGGCUUUGAGUGUGGCAGAGGGAGGUAGAAUUCCACGUGUAGCAGUGAAAUGCGUAUAGAUGUGGAGGAAUACCGAUGGCGAAGGCAGCCUCCUGGGCCAACACUGACGCUCAUGCACGAAAGCGUGGGGAGCAAACAGG
rnacentral:rRNA from 1 species